CUACAGGCUUAACACAUGCAAGUCGAGGGGCAGCAUGGUCUUAUCUUGCUAAGGCCGAUGGCGACCGGCGCACGGGUGAGUAACACGUAUCCAACCUGCCGUCUACUCUUGGACAGCCUUCUGAAAGGAAGAUUAAUACAAGAUGGCAUCAUGAGUCCGCAUGUUCACAUGAUUAAAGGUAUUCCGGUAGACGAUGGGGAUGCGUUCCAUUAGAUAGUAGGCGGGGUAACGGCCCACCUAGUCUUCGAUGGAUAGGGGUUCUGAGAGGAAGGUCCCCCACAUUGGAACUGAGACACGGUCCAAACUCCUACGGGAGGCAGCAGUGAGGAAUAUUGGUCAAUGGGCGAGAGCCUGAACCAGCCAAGUAGCGUGAAGGAUGACUGCCCUAUGGGUUGUAAACUUCUUUUAUAAAGGAAUAAAGUCGGGUAUGGAUACCCGUUUGCAUGUACUUUAUGAAUAAGGAUCGGCUAACUCCGUGCCAGCAGCCGCGGUAAUACGGAGGAUCCGAGCGUUAUCCGGAUUUAUUGGGUUUAAAGGGAGCGUAGAUGGAUGUUUAAGUCAGUUGUGAAAGUUUGCGGCUCAACCGUAAAAUUGCAGUUGAUACUGGAUAUCUUGAGUGCAGUUGAGGCAGGCGGAAUUCGUGGUGUAGCGGUGAAAUGCUUAGAUAUCACGAAGAACUCCGAUUGCGAAGGCAGCCUGCUAAGCUGCAACUGACAUUGAGGCUCGAAAGUGUGGGUAUCAAACAGGAUUAGAUACCCUGGUAGUCCACACGGUAAACGAUGAAUACUCGCUGUUUGCGAUAUACUGCAAGCGGCCAAGCGAAAGCGUUAAGUAUUCCACCUGGGGAGUACGCCGGCAACGGUGAAACUCAAAGGAAUUGACGGGGGCCCGCACAAGCGGAGGAACAUGUGGUUUAAUUCGAUGAUACGCGAGGAACCUUACCCGGGCUUAAAUUGCAGAUGAAUUACGGUGAAAGCCGUAAGCCGCAAGGCAUCUGUGAAGGUGCUGCAUGGUUGUCGUCAGCUCGUGCCGUGAGGUGUCGGCUUAAGUGCCAUAACGAGCGCAACCCUUGUUGUCAGUUACUAACAGGUUCCGCUGAGGACUCUGACAAGACUGCCAUCGUAAGAUGUGAGGAAGGUGGGGAUGACGUCAAAUCAGCACGGCCCUUACGUCCGGGGCUACACACGUGUUACAAUGGGGGGUACAGAGGGCCGCUACCACGCGAGUGGAUGCCAAUCCCCAAAACCUCUCUCAGUUCGGACUGGAGUCUGCAACCCGACUCCACGAAGCUGGAUUCGCUAGUAAUCGCGCAUCAGCCACGGCGCGGUGAAUACGUUCCCGGGCCUUGUACACACCGCCCGUCAAGCCAUGGGAGCCGGGGGUACCUGAAGUGCGUAACCGCGAGGAGCGCCCUAGGGUAAAACUGGUGACUGG
rnacentral:rRNA from 1 species